rnacentral:misc_RNA from 1 species
AACGCACCUUGCGCUCCUUGGUAUUCCGAGGAGCAUGCCUGUUUGAGUGUCAUGAAUUUCUCAACCUUUCUGGCUCUUACGAGCUAGUCAGGCUUGGAUUAUGGGAGCUGCUGGCUUUUUGAAGUCGGCUCUUCUGAAAUGCAUUAGCAAAAUCAUUGCUGCUCAUCAUUGGUAUGAUAAUUAUCUAUAUCAUUGAGAGUCGGUGUCCUUCAUUGGAGGAUUUUGCUCCUAACAGUCUUUCCGAAGACAAUCUCUGACCAUUUUGACCUCAAAUCAGGUAGGACUACCCGCUGAACUUAA